UACGAAGGGGGGCUAGCGUUGCUCGGAAUCACUGGGCGUAAAGCGCACGUAGGCGGAUUGUUAAGUCAGGGGUGAAAUCCUGGAGCUCAACUCCAGAACUGCCUUUGAUACUGGACGAUCUCGAGUUCCGGGAGAGGUGAGUGGAACUGCGAGUGUAGAGGUGAAAUUCGUAGAUAUUCGCAAGAACACCAGUGGCGAAGGCGGCUCACUGGCCCGAUACUGACGCUGAGGUGCGAAAGCGUGGGGAGCAAACAGG
rnacentral:rRNA from 1 species